AUUGAACGCUGGCGGAAUGCUUUACACAUGCAAGUCGAACGGUAGGGGGGGCAACCCCUCGAGAGUGGCGAACGGGUGAGUAAUAUAUCGGAACGUGCCCAGUCGUGGGGGAUAACGUAGCGAAAGUUACGCUAAUACCGCAUACGAUCUACGGAUGAAAGCGGGGGAUCGCAAGACCUCGCGCGAUUGGAGCGGCCGAUAUCAGAUUAGGUAGUUGGUGGGGUAAAGGCUCACCAAGCCAACGAUCUGUAGCUGGUCUGAGAGGACGACCAGCCACACUGGAACUGAGACACGGUCCAGACUCCUACGGGAGGCAGCAGUGGGGAAUUUUGGACAAUGGACGCAAGUCUGAUCCAGCCAUUCCGCGUGCAGGAUGAAGGCCCUCGGGUUGUAAACUGCUUUUGUACGGAACGAAAAGGUUUCUAUUAAUACUAGGAGCUCAUGACGGUACCGUAAGAAUAAGCACCGGCUAACUACGUG
rnacentral:rRNA from 1 species